UUGUGAGGCCAACCCUCUUUCUCAAAGCCAAUUUAGUCAAAUCUCAGAAGCUAAGCGGGGAUGGGCUUGGUUAGUAUUUGGAUGGGAGACCACUGGGAAUACCAGGUGCCACAGU
rnacentral:rRNA from 1 species